rnacentral:rRNA from 1 species
GAUGAACGCUGGCGGCGUGCCUAAUACAUGCAAGUCGAGCGAACAGACGAGGAGCUUGCUCCUCUGACGUUAGCGGCGGACGGGUGAGUAACACGUGGAUAACCUACCUAUAAGACUGGGAUAACUUCGGGAAACCGGAGCUAAUACCGGAUAAUAUAUUGAACCGCAUGGUUCAAUAGUGAAAGACGGUUUUGCUGUCACUUAUAGAUGGAUCCGCGCCGCAUUAGCUAGUUGGUAAGGUAACGGCUUACCAAGGCAACGAUGCGUAGCCGACCUGAGAGGGUGAUCGGCCACACUGGAACUGAGACACGGUCCAGACUCCUACGGGAGGCAGCAGUAGGGAAUCUUCCGCAAUGGGCGAAAGCUUGACGGAGCAACGCCGCGUGAGUUAUGAAGGUCUUCGGAUCGUAAAACUCUGUUAUUAGGGAAGAACAAAUGUGUAAGUAACUAUGCACGUCUUGACGGUACCUAAUCAGAAAGCCACGGCUAACUACGUG